CACGUAGGGAGCACGCGUUGUCCGGAUUUAUUGGGCGUAAAGAGCUCGUAGGUGGUUCGGUAAGUCAGGUGUGAAACCUCCAGGCUCAACCUGGAGACGCCACUUGAUACUGCUGUGACUGGAGUCCGGUAGGGGAGCGUGGAAUUCCUGGUGUAGCGGUGAAAUGCGCAGAUAUCAGGAGGAACACCAGCGGCGAAGGCGGCGCUCUGGGCCGGUACUGACACUGAGGAGCGAAAGCGUGGGUAGCAAACAGG
rnacentral:rRNA from 1 species